GUUAGAUGGCACUGUAACGCUAUCGUCUGUGCAUGAACGCUAAUUCACGAUUAAACACAGAAGAAGAAUCCUUGCGUUAUGAUUGGUGUAAACCAUCCAAUGAGCGUGAAGGAAACUGACAUUUUGAACUAGACAGGCGCUUCGUUGGUUAACAAGAUAAACGUUUCAGAGUUUAUGCUGAUAUUUAUUUUGUAGUAUCCGUGUUUGUCUUAUCAAACCAGAAUCUCGUUGAGACUAAAACAGUUUCACAUCUAUAAACAUCCGCUAAGAAGUUCGUGUUUACAGGCACAGGGAGUCUGAGACAGCUGAUAAUAUGUGUGGAGUCUGAGUAUUGCCCUCUGUUUUAAAUAAGAAGCCCUUCAUUUAUUCUGUGCGAGAAGAAGCAUCACCAUCCAUGGCCAACAAACCAACUGGGCGAGGCUUAUACAUUCGGGAAAAUCCAGAUGCCGAUGAGUGCUGUGAAAACAUUCCACCCGGGGGCACUGUUAAAGCUGGGACUUCUAAACUCAAAUGGCCCCAUGAAGAAAACAAGCCUCUUCCUGACACCUGCACCUUUUCAACCCCUGCUCCAACAGGCAGCAAGCCAAAGUCACGGAUUUCUUUCCAGUCUGCUCUGACACCAAUUUUAAAAUACUUAAAUAUCGGCAACAAAUCUCCAGAAAGUUCAACACAUGAAAAUAAUCGUCGUCAGACACUUUCUCUUUUCUCCUUUGGUGCAGCCACAGCAGAUUGUCAAAAAUCAACAAAAGGUUCUGUCCAACAGUUAAACUCAGAUCCCCCUAGUAGCUAUUCUGGGCAAUUAUUCAGUGACAUGGAUGGUCCUGUGUCCUUUCUAGGUGACGAAUGCUUGCCAGAAGUGACCCUAUUUGAUUCUAUGUGUGAUUCUACCAUACAGCUUACUAGAAAUGACUCCCCUGCUCCUGACAGCGCACCUGCAACUUCUGCAAGCACAAGCCCUAAAAUAAAUAUUCCUGAAAUUCAUCCUCCUGAUCUUUCACAACAUAUGGCAACAACAGAGAUUACAGACCCAGAUGUCAAAAUGAUUGAUGCCUCUCAGAACAAGCAUGCUCCAGUCCCCUGGCUGAUACUUGACAAAUUCUUGCCAGAAAUUACUCUCCUUGAUGUUACACGUGAUUCACCAUUAUCAUCAGGAGAACAGACCACCUCCAUGGAUGUGACUCAGGCUCUUCCUCCGCUUGAUUUGAAACGCGACAGGUCUUUUAAUGGAAUGGAAAGUGGAAAAAUCGCGGCACAGCCUAGCAGUUCAGAUGUCAUCUCGGGCGAAAAAUUGCUAAGUACAAGUGUACAAUCCGACAAGUGUGUGGGGGAAAGCACAGCAAAAACCUCUUUGGAUAUUACUAUGGGAAAUGUUUUGGAAAAUAGCAAGUCUUCAUCAGAGCCCAGUGAAUGUAAUAUAGAGACGAGUCAAGCAUCGGCAGGGGAUACACUUGGGAAAAAUCCUGCUAAUGUUACUCGAGAAAUAAUAUCUUCUAGUGACAUACCUGCAGACUCUAAUGUGGAGUGCAGUGCUAAUCAAAAAGUUACCUCAGAGAUCCGGGAAGAGCCUGUGGAGUUUUCUGAUAAACCUGAAGCUAUCAUUAAAGACCUGAUUGCCAGCCAUGAAGCAAAGUCAGCCAACGAGCCCAGUGGACAAAAUAUGAAGAUGAGCUCAACAUCACCUGAUGAUACAUUCAGCAGUCAACCAGCUAAUGUUACACAUGACACAACCUCGUCCAAUGACACGUCAGCUCAGAGUGUAAGGUCUACAUCGAAUAGGGAGUGUAGUAGUAGUCAAAAGGACGCCCCCUCAGAACUUGUGGAAUCUUGUCACAAAGUAAACGAUGAGUUGAAAAACUAUGCGACACAGCCAAACCCAAAAGCAUCAAACUCCGGGAAUGGAACAUUUAAUGUCGUGCAGGCCGCUGAUCUGAGCGUGUCUAAUGAUUUAAAUACUACUGCUUCAGUUUCCCACUUUCAGAAUAAGACACUUGAUCUUCCUCCAUUUAAUGUAAGCUGCACCAAAGAUGGGACUUCAGGUCAGGCAGGUUUUGGCACCACUGAAACAUCCCCCAUCACAAAUCAAAAUUGCUCAUCUUUAAAGGAAUGUGCUCCAUUUGCUGUGCAGAACGCCACCUUUGAAAAGCAUUCUCUGCAUAAAAGCAGUGGCAGCACAGUAUUAGGGGAAGACCUCAAGAACAACACCUUUGAUUCUCAACCACCUUCCAAGAAGAGCGACACAAUAACUUUGUUGGAAACGGUCCAGAGUGAAAGUAGCCAAAUUUCUUCAAAGCCUAAUAGCACAAAAACUCUGACAGAAAUGAGCUCAUGUGACGGUCACCAAAGUGCUUCCAAGCCAAAUGGAACAAUAACUUUAUCAGAGGUGAACCCGAGUGACGAUCACCACAAUACCUCCAGGCCCAAUGGCACCAUAACUUUGUCAGAAACAAGCUCAUGCAACAUCCGCCCGGGGUCUUCAGACAAGCCCUCCACACCUGAAGUCAGUAAUCUAACCACCAGCCCUAAAGACAACAAUAUUGACAUUGCCCCUGAUCUAUCAAAGCAUAAUGUUACGACAGAUGCUAAGGACCAUAGUGGCAAGGAGGUUGAAACCCAUGAUGACGCUUCUGGCAGUGGUAGCUGUGAGACUAAAGAUCUUUCAGGUCUGCCUGUGGUGGGCGGGCUCUCCGAUUCUUUAAACCGUCAAAGCUUUGGUACAGUGAACCUCAAAGCCAAGUGUUUCAAUUUGGAUGACACCCUGGAUUUAAAGGCAGACUGUUUGAUUACUUCAACACCAAUGACUAAAUGUACAAUGUUCAACUUGAACACUGAGCAAGUUGAGGGCUUACACCUAGCAGUACAGAAGAAGCUGUACACAGAUGGUCCCAGGAAGCCAGCUGAUCAGGUGCCAUCAGACCCAUCAAACCUUGUCUGUGACCGUAAAACAAUCUUGAAACAGCCAGCUGCUAAAUCCCUUUGCCCUCCCCCAAAAGCUGGAGCUCAGCUGAUGAAAUCAAAGUCACAUUCCUCAAUUCCAGCCAGGUUGAAUACAGUGGCAUCCAACUUACCUACGAAAAGACAAAGAACCCAAGCUGAAGCUUCAAGAAACACUGCUGCCACUGCCCCUGAUGCACCCCAGGGGACCACAGGAGUAACAUCCUGCUACAACCUGCGUGCUACAGCAACAGGAUCCAAGCUGCCCGCUUGUGGCUCACAAAGAUCGCAGUUUAGUGGAAUCCCAUCAGGGAUCCAGAGAGCUACUAUGUGUCUUAGGCCACCUUUAACAAGAAGCAGUACAGCAAUUUCUUCAAGUACCGACAAGCUCUGUGGACCUACAGCAACUAACCCUGUGACCAAGACUUCACAAGCAAAGAAGCACCCUCUAACCAGAGCUGACAGUUUGCUAGUGUCAAAGAGGAAGAAAAUGGAUGCUUCUGAUCCAUGCAAUAGUGUCGGAGCUCCAGUAUCUGCCAGUGAUGCUACAAACAAAGCGACAAUCCUCAAGCAGCCCAGUAAGAGAGCUUUGCCUGCCAAAGCUCAAGGAGAAGGUUGCGCAAAAUGUGCUGAGCUUGAAGAACAACUUAAACUGAUAUCAGAAGAAAACACAAGGCUGAAAGAAGAGUUGCUGAAAUACACUAAACAAGAUGUCCCAGUGAAACCCCGGUGUUAAUACUUUAAAGCAUAUCUGCUGUUUUUAAAUGUUAAUAAUUACGUAAAAUAAUUUACUCACUAAAGUAGAAAUGUUUUUUGUUUUUUUCUAUUUUGCAGUGAGGAUGAGAUUUUGUCUGUUUGUGUGUUUAACAUUACACUGUUUAUUUUCAACUCUAAUAAAUUUAAUAAUAUGUGUUGGUCUUUCAUUUGGUUGGUCUAACACUUUGGAGAGUGCUCUGCUGGGAGGACACAUUUGAACACCUUUUUUUCAGUAUUUGGAAAUUUCAGUCUUUGCGAUUUAGAAUUACUGUACUCAAAUACUGAUACUCAUUGUCAAGCUGCCGGGUAUAAAUAAAACAUCAGCAUAUUCAACACGCAUAGCUACUGGCAUUCCACCACUGAAAUUAAAUAUUGUAUAAUAGAUUAAUAUUCUAUUGUUAAAAAUAUUGAAUUUCCAGUGAAACCCUGUGACUUUGGAUAUCUUUAUCUCAGGUUAUUCAACACACUGGUAUAUCUCUAUAAAUACAAGAAUACGGUGUAGGCAAAUAUUUACCAUGCACUGCGACUUAAAAGCAAGGUUUUCCAAUACAAUAUUAU
ensembl:lncRNA